UACGGGGGGGGCAAGCGUUGUUCGGAAUUACUGGGCGUAAAGGGCUCGUAGGCGGCCAACUAAGUCAGACGUGAAAUCCCUCGGCUUAACCGGGGAACUGCGUCUGAUACUGGAUGGCUUGAGGUUGGGAGAGGGAUGCGGAAUUCCAGGUGUAGCGGUGAAAUGCGUAGAUAUCUGGAGGAAUACCGGUGGCGAAGGCGGCAUCCUGGACCGGCAUUGACGCUGAUGAGCGAAAGCUAGGGGAGCAAACGGG
rnacentral:rRNA from 1 species